GUCAGUGGCCCUCUCCCCUGACCUUCCCCUUCCCAGGGCCCUGAGACCCCCCGGGUUGCAAGCCCCCUGCCCUCAGAGUUCAUAACUUCCUCACUUCUUGUCCCCACAUUUUUCUGUUAAAAUGUAUCACACUGGGGAAGACUGCAAACUUACAGGCAAGAAUAGAGAAUGGGCCGGGCGCGGUGGCUCAUGCCUAUAAUCCCAGCACUUUGGGAGGCCAGGUGGGCAGAUCACUUGAGGUUGGGAGUUCGAGACCAGCCUGGCCAACAUGGAGAAACCCCAUCUCUACUAAAAAUACAAAAAUUAGCCGGGCGUGGUGGCACAUGCCUGUAAUCCCAGCUACUCGGGAGGCUGAGGCAGGAGAAUCGCUUGAACCAGGAAGUGGAGGUUGUGGUGAGCAGAGAACAUGCCAUUGCACUCCAGCCUAGGCAACAAGAGCGAAACUCCAUCUCAAAAAAAAAAAAAAAAAAAAAAGAACAGAUAAUGAUACAAUGGACACCGUUCAACCCCAUGACUUCUCCCCUCUCACCCCAGACUUCUUACCUUCCUAACUUCCUGACUUUGCCCGAAUGCUGAUAGCUUGAUCCCCCAGGCCUCAGCCAUCCUGGGAUCCCCAAUAUGCAGACACUCCUCAAUUCUCCCAGCAUCCAGAUUAUAGGG
rnacentral:lncRNA from 1 species